rnacentral:rRNA from 1 species
GACGUAGGAUGCGAGCGUUAUUCGGAUUUACUGGGCGUAAAGAGCGCGCAGGCGGUCGUUCAAGUCGCGUGUGAAAGCCCCCGGCUCAACUGGGGAGGGUCACGCGAUACUGAUCGACUCGAAGGCAGGAGAGGGUAGUGGAAUUCCCGGUGUAGUGGUGAAAUGCGUAGAUAUCGGGAGGAACACCAGUGGCGAAGGCGACUACCUGGCCUGUUCUUGACGCUGAGGCGCGAAAGCUAGGGGAGCAAACGGG